rnacentral:lncRNA from 1 species
GUAUGUGCCAGUACAGUCAGUUCUGCUUGACCUCAAAAUGAAGUGUCAUCUCGUUAUUGGGGGAAUUGGAUUGUAUGCUGAUUGCCAGGAGUGUAAGCUGAUUGUACGCUUUUCCCGUUCAGUUGCUUACAGCAUUCAUAUGCUUGAGAGCAUUCGUAUGCUUCUCCGGUUUGGUAGUUGUGGUGUCUGCUGCAGUGCUUGGAGUCCUCAGGAAGCCCUAGGAGCAUCCUUCAACGGAGGUACCCAGUCGGGGUGCCAGGUGAUCAGUUACA